UGGGGCUCACGGCUCUCAGGAUGAGACACUCAAGGGUCAAAGGGCUGCCAAGCACCUGCGGGACGCUCAUGUUGAUUCCCCUCUCCCUUCCCACGUUCUCCCAGCCAUGUCAACUCCACUCUACCCCUGAGCAUGUUCCCCACACCUGGUUCAGGGCGGCAGCUCUACCCAGGGCAGAGACACCCUCAACAAUCCCAUUAACUUUGUCACGGUUGCCCCAGACUGCUGGAUUUGGUUUUCUGUGCUUUCAUGCAAUGCUCCCACCACAGUGUCCACGUGUCCCUGGAGCCAGACUCUCUAGGGAAAGGGAAACAUGGUACCACCACAGCCCAGGGCCUGGCUCAGCAGGGUGAGGUGGCACAGCAGGAUUCCAAAGGAGGAACACACAGCAAAACCAGCACCAGAAACUCAGAUAAAAAGAGAAGUGUGUGAAAAGCAAGGUUUUGACAGAUAGAGCACUCAAAAGAAGAGACCUGGCCUAUGUUAAAAAGGCUGUUAUUCAAAGGGGAGAGUCACUGCAAGAAAGCAGCAGAUGGGAGAAGGAGAAAAGAAAGGCGAAAAGAACAUAUGCCUUUUGGAUUUACUGAUCUGUGUUUUUCUAUACAAUCCAUAAAAUAUGCUCACUGGUAGACCCUUUA